CUCUCUCUCUCCCAGCCCCUUCCUGGAGGUUAUCACCGGGAGCACAGGACUCUGUGGUACAUGCACCCAAGAUGUACUAUCGACUCACCGCCAUUGAAGAGAAUGAAGGAGAAUGUGCCACUUCUGAGACUGAGUCAUGGGAAGCACCGCGGCCUCCAUCUUGGAUGAGAAGCAACAAGGAACAUGUAAAUGAGAGAAGGCAGAGAGGACUGUGACAAGGAGUCUGUGACUUUGGCUGUGCUAGGGCAGAAGAGGCAGUUUAAGACACUGAAAGAUGGACAUCAAGACAAAGGUGGAAGGUGGUGAGGAGAUGUGGGACCUCUCUAACCCGCUGGUGAGUUAGAGGUCCUGA